rnacentral:miRNA from 1 species
CAUGGAGGGCUCCGUGCUUUUACU